rnacentral:rRNA from 1 species
ACGAACGCUGGCGGCAUGCCUAACACAUGCAAGUCGAACGAGACCUUCGGGUCUAGUGGCGCACGGGUGCGUCACGCGUGGGAACCUGCCCUUAGGUUCGGAAUAACUCCCCGAAAGGGGUGCUAAUACCGGAUAAUGUCUUCGGACCAAAGAUUUAUCGCCUUUGGAUGGGCCCGCGUUGGAUUAGCUAGUUGGUAGGGUAAAAGCCUACCAAGGCGACGAUCCAUAGCUGGUCUGAGAGGAUGAUCAGCCACACUGGGACUGAGACACGGCCCAGACUCAUACGGGAGGCAGAAGUGGGGAAUAUUGGACAAUGGGAGAAAGACUGAUCCAGCAAUGCCGCGUGAGUGAUGAAGGCAUUAGGGUUGUAAAGCUCUUUUACCCGGGAUGAUAAUGACAGUACCGGGAGAAUAAGCUCCGGCUAACUCCGUG